rnacentral:rRNA from 1 species
UGGGGAAUAUUGCACAAUGGGCGCAAGCCUGAUGCAGCGACGCCGCGUGAGGGAUGGAGGCCUUCGGGUUGUAAACCUCUUUCGCCAGUGAAGCAGGCCUGCUCCUUGUGGGUGGGUUGACGGUAGCUGGAUAAGAAGCGCCGGCUAACUACGUGCCAGCAGCCGCGGUAAUACGUAGGGCGCGAGCGUUGUCCGGAAUUAUUGGGCGUAAAGAGCUCGUAGGCGGCUGGUCGCGUCUGUCGUGAAAUCCUCUGGCUUAACUGGGGGCUUGCGGUGGGUACGGGCCGGCUUGAGUGCGGUAGGGGAGACUGGAACUCCUGGUGUAGCGGUGGAAUGCGCAGAUAUCAGGAAGAACACCGGUGGCGAAGGCGGGUCUCUGGGCCGUUACUGACGCUGAGGAGCGAAAGCGUGGGGAGCGAACAGGAUUAGAUACCCUGGUAGUCCACGCCGUAAACGUUGGGCACUAGGUGUGGGGGGCCCUUUUCCGGGGUCUUCCCGCGCCGUAGNUAACGCAGUUAAGUGCCCCGCCUGGGGAGUACGGCC